rnacentral:rRNA from 1 species
UACAGAGGUCUCAAGCGUUGUUCGGAUUCAUUGGGCGUAAAGGGUGCGUAGGUGGCGCUGUAAGUCGGGUGUGAAAUUUCGGAGCUUAACUCCGAAACUGCAUUCGAUACUGCGGUGCUUGAGGACUGGAGAGGAGACUGGAAUUCAUGGUGUAGCAGUGAAAUGCGUAGAGAUCAUGAGGAAGACCAGUGGCGAAGGCGGGUCGUCUGGACAGUUCCUGACACUGAGGCACGAAGGCCAGGGAGCAAACGGG